rnacentral:rRNA from 1 species
CCCUUAGAUGUUCUGGGCCGCACGCGCGCUACACUGAUGCAUUCAACGAGUUUCUUCCUGGUCCGAGAGGAAUGGGUAACCUUUUGAAAGUGCAUCGUGAUAGGGAUAGACUAUUGCAAUUAUUGGUCUUCAACGAGGAAUUCCUAGUAGACGUAGUUCAUCAGACUGCAUAGAUUACGUCCCUGCCCUUUGUACACACCGCCCGUCGCUCCUACCGAUUGAAUGCUCAGGUGAGCCAUUCGGACUUUCAUCAUGCUGGUUUCCAGUUUUGAUGAAGGAAAGUCUUGCGAACCUUAUCAUUUAGAGGAAGGAGAAGUCGUAACA